GCCCCAAAAGCUUUGCUGGUGAAGCCUUGCCUUGUAAGCAGGAAGAAUUCGGUUCGAAUCCGUGUUGGGGCG
rnacentral:tRNA from 2 species